UACGUAGGGGGGCGAGCGUUGUCCGGAAUCAUUGGGCGUAAAGCGCGUGUAGGCGGCCCGGUAAGUCCGCUGUGAAAGUCCAGGGCUCAACCCUGGGAUGCCGGUGGAUACUGUCGGGCUCGAGUCCGGAAGAGGCGAGUGGAAUUCCUGGUGUAGCGGUGAAAUGCGCAGAUAUCAGGAGGAACACCGGUGGCGAAGGCGGGUCUCUGGGCCGUAACUGACGCUGAGGAGCGAAAGCGUGGGGAGCGAACAGG
rnacentral:rRNA from 1 species